GUGUCGUCAGCUCGUGUCGUGAGAUGUUGGGUUAAGUCCCGCAACGAGCGCAACCCCUACGUUUAGUUGCUAACGCGUGAAGGCGAGCACUCUAGACGAACUGCCGUUGACAAAACGGAGGAAGGUGGGAUGACGUCAAAUCAUCAUGCCCCUUAUGUUCUGGGCUACACACGUGCUACAAUGGCCGGUACAGACGGACGCAAAGCCGCGAGGUGGAGCAAAUCCUAAAAAGCUGGCCUCAGUUCAGAUUGCAGUCUGAAACUCGACUGCAUGAAGUCGGAGUUGCUAGUAACCGCAGGUCAGCUAUACUGCGGUGAAUACGUUCCCGGGGCUU
rnacentral:rRNA from 1 species